rnacentral:rRNA from 1 species
CCUACGGGAGUCUGCAGUGAGGAAUAUUGGUCGAUGUACGAGAGUCUGAACCCGCCAAGUAGCGUGAAGGAUGACUGCCCUAUGGGUUGUAAACUUCUUUUAUAUGGGAAUAAAACGUUCCACGUGUGGGAUUUUGUAUGUACCAUAUGAAUAAGGAUCUGCUAACUCCGUGCCAGCAGCCGCGGUAAUACGGAGGAGCCGAGCGUUAUCCGGAUUUAUUGGGUUUAAAGGGCGCGUAGGUGGAUUGUUAAGUCAGUUGUGAAAGUGUGCGGCUCAACCGUAAAAUUGCAGUUGAAACUGGCAGUCUUGAGUACAGUAGAGGUGGGCGGAAUUCGUGGUGUAGCGGUGAAAUGCUUAGAUAUCACGAAGAACUCCGAUUGCGAAGGCAGUACACUGGACUGCAACUGACACUGAGGCUCGAAAGUGUGGGUAUCAAACAGGAUUAGAUACCCGAGUAGUC